GUGCCCCACGUUUUGAGGGUCUCGUGCCAACCCACCUGCGUGCGCGGCAGCGGAGCGGCUUUUCCCGUACGAGGCGAAGCUUGUGUAGUGUUGCUCGCGAGUUUGCGAAUCGGUCAUCCACUGCAAAGAUCCGCAAAAUUCAGGCAGUAAACAUCGGACGGUCGCGGAGAAAGUUGCCUUAAGCUGUUCAACAUGGAGUCUGUUCUUGGGAACCGACCUACAUCUUGCGACACCUUCGUGGCCUUGCCACCGGCCACACGCAACGACUGCAUUGUGUUUGGCAAGAACUCUGACCGUCCCGCGGGGGAGGUGCAGGAGGUGGUGUACGUGCCCAAGACCCAUCACAGCACUUCCACCAAGUUGCAGUGCACCUACAUUGAAGUUGACCAGGUGGCUGAGACGUGCGCGGUCAUGCUGAGCAAGCCGGCCUGGAUGUGGGGUGCCGAGAUGGGAGCGAAUGAGCAUGGUGUCUGUAUUGGCAACGAGGCCAUCUUUACACACCUCAACGGACCAGACGACCGCACUGAACGACUGCUGGGCAUGGACUUGGUGAGGCUCGGCCUGGAGAGGGGAAAGACGGCCCGUGCGGCACUGGACGUCAUAGUGUUGCUGCUGGAGAAGCACGGCCAGGGCGGACCGUGCUCAGACACGGACCCAUCGUUCACAUACCACAACAGCUUCCUCAUCGCGGACCGCACCGAGGCAUGGGUGCUCGAGACGGCCGGAAAGCUGUGGGCAGCCGAGAACAUCAAGAGUGGCUGCAGGAACAUCUCCAACUGCCUUUCCAUUGAGACCAAGAUUGACCUGUGCAGCCAAGGGCUGAAGGAGGAGGCCGAGAAGCUUGGCUUCUGGAAUGACAGCCGAGGGGACCUGAACUUUCGUCUGGCAUUCAGUACGGGUGAGAUCGACAGCCGCUACACGUGUGGGAAGCAGCUUCUUGAGAAGCUUUCGGCAAAAGAAGAAGGCAUUGGAGAGCAGGAAAUGAUGAGGGUGCUCAGAGACAAGCGUAGCGGCAUUUGCAUGUCCUCCGGCUCCUUUGUGUCCACAGGCAGCCAGGUUUCUGUCCUCACUCCUGCUUCGAGCAACAGGCUGUGCUGCCACUGGUUCACGGGCACACCUGACCCGGCCCACUCGGUGUUCAAGCCCUUCAUUUUUUGUGACCAAGUGGUUCCCUCACGCCACAUCGUCUCGCCUGUGUUUGAGCACGACCCAGCGAAGACCAAGCCACGCUUCGAGUUCACCGUUGACCGCCGUCACACCCUGUACCGGCACCACGAGCAAGCCCUGCAGGCGAUGCAGACGGGCAAUGCGUCGGGCAAAGCACUGCAUGCGCUUAUGACCGAGCUGGAGGCCAAGUGCAUCCGCGAGGUGGACAGCUACCUGGACAAUCCUGGGAGCACGCAAGAGCUGCAGGAGCUCUUCAAGGAUGUUGUCGAGAGCGAGAUCAAGUUCUACAAGUAGACAGCGUUUACCCUCGCGCGUGUGGCACUUGCAGGCACCACCUUACGUGUUGUUGGAUGAAUCAAGGAGACUUGCUCGUUCGCCAUGCAUGCGUUUUGUUGCUCCUUUUCUUUGUCGUUGCACUGCCAGUUUUUCUCAACUCAGGGCACCCUCUGUGCACUGAACUGUAUACAGGUUGUGGGUGUGCUUUUAUUUUGGUGAGCUUUGAUGAAGCUACACACUUUUUUUGCCACUGGUAAUUAUAAUGAAUAUUACUUAUGCCUGUUAACUCGGUGUGGCAAUUGUUAUGCAUAACAAUUGAAUAACAUAAGCCUUAUCUGCUUGCAUUGAGUAGCCGUGGGGCCUAUAUGUGUUGACCACGAAGCACAUAUGUGUAGGCCUUUUCUUGAACGAUCGUGGUAUGCUUGUUUUGGUCAUGCAUUCAUUCAUUCAGUCGGGCUGGUGGGUGGUGCACAGACAUGAACGACUGUUAUCUGUUGCAUUUCUAUGUCUCAAGGCAAUGAUAAUGGUGACUCAUUGAUGUCUUGCAAUGCUUUCUGUUUCUAAGUCGUUUUCUUCUUUAAUUUAGAAACAAAGAUCCUAGUGUGCAAUAGGCUGUGUUUCUGUAUGCUGUGAUAGAUUGCUUUUGGUGUACUACUUGUAACAUACAAUCAAAGGCGAUUGUUUUAUGUGUGUUACGUGACACUCGCGAUUCGGGCUUGACAUGUUUUGAGAAGGAUGCUCUGAUUACGGUACUAGGAACGUGCAACACAUAUUUUGUAAGGCCACACGAACGUAAACAGAUGACCAAAUGUUUUCCAUGUUCAAUCUCACGACUUUAUGCACAGUAUUCUCAGCAUUAUUCGUAGUUUCUUGUUGCUUUGCAUUUUAAUGUAGUCAAGUGAGGAUUCCAGUGUCACUAUAAUUGGCUCAAUACUCAAAAUAUCCUUGGAUGUGAAGAUUAAGUAGCACAUCUUAACAUUCAGGGCUUUGCUGAUUACUAUUUGCUUUGCACUGCUCAAACCAAUCGGUGUAGUGGAUGAAUGGGCAAGAAGGUCCAACAGCAUGCUAAAUUUGCAGUGUAAACAUUGAUUGGUGAUAGUGUGUUCAACACUUUAAUCAUCUGUUACUUGUAAGUAAAAGUUUGUUUAUUUUAAUCUGCUUUAUUUUAAUCUGUAAGCUGCUCUGAAUGCUCGUCAAAAAGCAUAUCUUGAAGGUAGCUUUCAAAGAAACUGUAGUGAGCGUAAAAUAGCGAUCAAGGAGUUUGACUUCGUUAAAGUUGCUCAUGCGUAGUUAUUUGUUUGUAUGUACCCUUGUGAGGCUCCUUUAUUUUUUAGUGUAUCAUUUUUUCUUUGGUUGGUUCAGAUAGGGAGCUGUAUUCAUUGUUUCUUGAUUAAAAGCUUCUUUCGUUGAGCGCGAGCUGGGCG
rnacentral:misc_RNA from 1 species